GUCGAGUUCAGUAGCGUGAGCUUGUGACCCAAGUGGGGACAUUGAGGUGGUAGAACACGGAUCUAGUAAACUGGAUCGGGUCUUUGGCUUGGCUUUAUGCUAGCCUGCCCUGUCCAAGUUGGGAGUUGACCCAUGGGCCUCGGGUGAAGGCCUGAGUCUCUUGGGUACUAGAGUGGAGGGCACUGCGUGAGGCUGGUUUUACAGAGCAACGACAACCUCCCGCUCCCAUCAGUGGAUGGAUAACGGGCCGGUGCCUACCGGAUCCACUAGUGUCCAGUUGGCUAAGAUCUUCAUUGGACCAUCAUUUUU
rfam:Beta vulgaris subsp. vulgaris chromosome 7, whole genome shotgun sequence.